rnacentral:rRNA from 1 species
UACGAAGGGGGCUAGCGUUGCUCGGAAUCACUGGGCGUAAAGCGCACGUAGGCGGCUUUUUAAGUCAGAGGUGAAAUCCUGGAGCUCAACUCCAGAACUGCCUUUGAUACUGGAGAGCUUGAGUCCGGGAGAGGUGAGUGGAACUGCGAGUGUAGAGGUGAAAUUCGUAGAUAUUCGCAAGAACACCAGUGGCGAAGGCGGCUCACUGGCCCGGUACUGACGCUGAGGUGCGAAAGCGUGGGAGCAACAGG